rnacentral:lncRNA from 1 species
CAUUAUAUGUCUGCCACCUCUAGAGAACAACCCAUGCUUCAACAAAAAAGAAGUGGAAUUUAUCAGAUUGGAAACGUCAUGGAUAUCCACAGUAAGGUAGGUGAACUAUCUCAAAAAUUAGACCGUCUUCUAAAUACUGGACAAUCCCCGAUUCCACCUAACUCAAUCUAAGAAGUUUGUGCAUUGUGUGCAAGUCCGAACCAUUUUGUUAGUGAAUGCCCAGCCGCACCUCAAUUUUCUGAGUUUGUGCACGAGCAGGUUCAGCAAGCUCAAGUCCAACAAGC